rnacentral:rRNA from 1 species
UAGCCGUAAACGAUACUCGCUAGGUGUCGGCCACGGUGCGACCGUUGUCGGUGCCGUAGGGAAGCCGUGAAGCGAGCCACCUGGGAAGUACGGCCGCAAGGCUGAAACUUAAAGGAAUUGGCGGGGGGAGCACCACAAGAGGUGGAGGCUGCGGUUCAAUUGGACUCAACGCCGGAAAACUCAUCGGGAGCGACAGCAGUAUGAUUGCCAGGUUGAUGACCUUGCUUGACAAGCUGAGAGGUGGUGCAUGGCGUAGUCGUGU